AAAAAAUUAGUUAAAAAAUAACAUUAGGUUGUCAGCCUAAAAUUGCUAAUAUUAGCAUUCUUUA
rnacentral:tRNA from 1 species